rnacentral:rRNA from 1 species
GAAUUUACUGGGGGCGGUAAAGCGCAGGUAGGGCGGACUUUUAAGUCAGGGGUGAAAUCCCAGAGCUCAACUCUGGAACUGCCUUUGAUACUGGAAGUCUUGAGUAUGGUAGAGGUGAGUGGAAUUCCGAGUGUAGAGGUGAAAUUCGUAGAUAUUCGGAGGAACACCGGUGGCGAAGGCGGCUCACUGGACCAUUACUGACGCUGAGGUGCGAAAGCGUGGGGAGCAAACAGGAUUAGAUAACCUGGUAGUCCACGCCGUAAACGAUGAAUGUUAGCCGGCGGGGUGUUUAAACUUCAGGGGCGC